UCCUUUUUAGUAUAAAGUACAUUUGACUUCCAAUCAAAAAGUAACAAAAGGAA
rnacentral:tRNA from 1 species